GAUGAAGAACGUAGCGAAAUGCGACAAGUAAUGCGAAUUGCAGAAUUCCAGUGAAUCAUCGAAUCUUUGAACGCACAUUGCGCCCGCCAGUAUUCUGGCGGGCAUGCCUGUUCGAGCGUCAUUUCAACCAUCAAGCCCCAGGCUUGUGUUGGGGACCUGCGGCUGCCGCAGGCCCUGAAAACCAGUGGCGGGCUCGCUGUCACACCGGGCGUAGUAGAUUUUAUCUCGCUCAGGGCGUGCUGCGGGUCCCGGCCGUUAAAAGCCUUUUUUUACCCAAGGUUGACCUCGGAUCAGGUAGGAAGACCCGCUGAACUUAAGCAUAUCAAUAAGCGGAGGA
rnacentral:misc_RNA from 1 species